CAGCAGCCACGGGAAUACGUAGGGUGCGAGCGUUAAUCGGAAUUACUGGGCGUAAAGCGUGCGCAGGCGGUUGUGUAAGACAGGUGUGAAAUCCCCGGGCUUAACCUGGGAACUGCGCUUGUGACUGCACAGCUAGAGUAUGGCAGAGGGGGGUGGAAUUCCACGUGUAGCAGUGAAAUGCGUAGAGAUGUGGAGGAACACCGAUGGCGAAGGCAGCCCCCUGGGCCAAUACUGACGCUCAUGCACGAAAGCGUGGGGAGCAAACAGGAUUAGAUACCCCCGUAGUCCCUGUCUCUUAUAA
rnacentral:rRNA from 1 species